ACUGAGUUUGUAACCAGUUACACUGACAAAAUUUCCCUUCUCGCUAUAGAGCAGAUUAAUUAAUAUUUAACUUAUAAAGUAAAAUCUCCUUUGGCAACUGUUAGAAUGAUAUACAUUGUUGGACCCUUCAUCUAAAAGUUUAAACUGUUAGAUGAGUUGGUUACUUAACAUGGUAUCAGAGCUCUGGAGUGUGCAAGGUCUUGGGUUCAAAUCUUCCCAGCUACACAAUUCAUUUGAUGAGGAGCCUUGGUCCGGAAGGUAUUCUAACAUAUCGAAGAACACUAAUUUAAAGCAAAUGACAGGUAAUGAGAAUACAAGAAAACACAAUAGAGAAAUAUGGAGAACAUCCACAGGAAAUGAGUCAAGUUCAACAGCUUGUCUAUCAGUAAGCAAAGGUAAAGUAUCGUCUGUUAACAAUCCCUUCUUGUAAUUUUGGAGGCGAAGGCUUACCAACAUGCUUCUAGUUUUCUUAUAGUGCUCAUCCUCAGCUUGGGGCUGGGAAUUCUUACACAGUAGCUGCAUCAACGCACGGAAACUAAUUUAAGAACCAGAAGUAUUCACAAGAACAUAGUUACAGAUUCAGCUUAACAAUUCCGACUACUUGAAGAAUGACAUAAAGCAGAUGAAUGGUGCACAGAUGUAUUCAUCUAAUUAUAUGUUCCAUCAGGUGUCAUAGAAGGUAACUCCAAAAUCUAGUCUUUAUAAUUUGGACACAUGUAAUAGAUAACUAUUUUUCUUUAUGCAUGGUUCUUUUCUAAACUUGGAUUCUGUUAGUAGGAAUCUAAGUUCUUCAAAGUCAGGCACCAAAACCCAAAUUAGUGCGAUAGAAAUCAUAGAAAUGAAACUAUAAGUAUAGUAACACAUUGAUAAUAACAUGUUCUGUUCAGUAAUAUGUGGGUAUGCACAUACCUAGUUAGGUAGGGCAGGUCCUAACUUUCCAGAGUGAUUAGGACCACCCAAUCUACUCGCCAAUGAAAACAUACCGCAAUGAUUAAUUCAUAAUCUUAGACUAGUGCACAUGUAAAAGAAUUAAGGAUAGGCCAAUAUUAAACCGUCGUAGAAUAAUAUUUAAAUUGCGGUCUUGUACCAAAGGACCCCCUGCAAGAUAUUAAACCGCCUGUUACAAAAGAGUGAAAGUUCUCCACGAAUAUACAGUUGAAAGAAUGCAUUUAAUAGCACAACUUGGCACCUUAUAAUUGGAAUGAGAGAACUUCCACUUUUAUGGCUUUAUUCGUCUAUAUAUCAUCAUCAUCAUCAUCAUAAAUCCACAACUUUAAGCAGUAAAAGCAAAAGUUCCUAGUUCAAAAUCUAUUACAGAUGAAAAACACUUGGUACGUAACAUAAAGAAUCUAAUAUCCCAAAAGCUUUGAUUGGUAAACAAUCAAAAGACACAAUUUUCAUCAAUUCAAGUCGAUUAUAAGGCAACCAGUGUUUAAGCUAAACACACAUAUCACAUAUUAAUUGUAACAUAGCACCAAUUAUAUGGUUUGCAUUUUUUUAUACUUAACCACCUCUAGUUAAAAAACCAUCACCUGUGAAUUCAAAAGGUUAAAUUGCAUUUACCAAAGAUAAAUCUCAAGUUUUCAAGGAACGAUCUUUGUUCAAGCAUAUAUAUGAUUAUUUACUCAUGUUGUGUUAUUCAAUAUCGACUAUAUGUCAUGUUGCUAGCGAGUUUACGCAUCUGAAGCUAACAUUUAGACUGAUCAAAAAUUUUCGAUUCCAACAUUUUCUAUUAAGGGCAAGAAACAUUGUUUAGUUUCUCUAUUGCCAAUCCCAAUUCUUUAGUUACCUUCAAUAGUUUUUGUAACAUGUAAUUAAUUGUACUACAUCAUUUAUGAGCCAAAGAGGAUAUUUUUGUAACAUAUAAAAGGAAUUGGAAAGGUCGUAAACCUGGGCUUGCUGGAGAGAAGUCGUGGCUUUGGGAUUAAGGUCGACAUAAGUUUGUUGAUUCUUCAAAAGUGUUUAUAUAUCUGGAACAGGAGGGCUAAGACCCAGUCAAAAAAUUGAAAAUUUUAUCAACUAAUCAGCUGAGUUAUUUUACAUGGUUUGAGCAUCUGAUUAAUUGCAAUCUUAAUUAGGGACCCAAUUCCCCUCAUCACAAAAGUUAAGUGUGCGCGCUCGCACACACAUAUAUGAAAGAUUAAUCGAGGAUACAAAGAGGUAGCUAACCGCAAGAUCAGACUUUUGGGUUUUGGAUUUCUUUAUUAUGAGAUUGGGGAUGGAAUCACUGAGAAGCAAUUCCUUUCUUUGGAAAUUAAUUCAUGGAGGAUUUUGUCCACGCAAACUAAGCAGAGGCAAGCACUGAGAUAAUCGUUAGGGAGGCUCCUACCAACAUAUCAACUUGAAUCCAGUCAUGCCAUAUAAUAUUUAAUGCAAGUAGUCAUUAUAAAGGUGCCCCAAAGAUUCCAAAAUUAAAUUUAGAAACUGACAACAGCAAAAGAUACAACUCAAAGAAAAGAAAUAGAGUUGAAUAAAGAAUGAACCAUUCUGUCUACAAUCCAAAAAUGCCUCAAGUUUUGAGAGUUGUUAGAAGCCAACAACUUCAUUACCUUUUAACAAUCAUCAUAUCUUGGAACUUUCGCAGUUUGACAAGGGCACAGUUGCAUACAAGUUGCUAUAAGUCAACAACUAAACUACAUGACAGGUAAGUUUCAACUAUUUUCAUCAAAAAAUCCUUCUUUUCGACAAGUCAAACAAUUCCUAAAUAUGUAAUCAAUAAUAGGAAAAAUCUCUAAAGGGAACUGUUUUUCACAAGUAAAAUUUGAUAUUUCCAUCUCACGAGUAUGGGACCAUUUAAUGUGAGAGGGAGCUUGUGGAACUCACUUUUACUUGUGGAAUUAUCAAUUCCCUCUCUGAAAUCAAAUAACUAAACAACAAAUCUAAGCACAUCACGCCUAACUUCAACUAGAACAAGUCCCAUGAAAUGCUAAGUUGGUGCAGUACGUUAUAAGGCUGGUCUGAAAACGUCUUCGUAGCUAGAGGUGUUUAAUCAAGAUCUUGCCAGAUAGUCACAACUCACAACAUAAAUUCAAUUUCAAAAAGACAUACAAAUCAUCUCAGACUCGUCCAACAAAGAUAAUCAUUUCCUCUCUCAGCAAGGAGAAAAUUCAUCCAAUGAAGAUUUAUUUGGCAGUAUUAUUCACAAAAACAUUCAUCUUUCCAUUGCUAUAUAGCUCCAAAAGUUGAGAAUACUGUCUUAUGCUAAAGUACAUAUUGAAGAAUGUUUAAGCUGGAUAGAAAAGCUAGACCAAUAAACCCUCGUUCAAUUCAAAAUUAGAAAAUAAUUACAUUAAAGAAUCUGAUAAUGCAGAACAUGUAUAAAUAGAUCAUACCAACAUUGUGAUUAGCCCGAACUGAACUCGUCUAUACUGCUUUAUCCAUUAAGUGCCACCUAAGGCAGAAGAAUACACUAAUCGUAAUGCUCAUUGCUUUAGAAAGAUGAAAGACCCUAUACACUCACAGAUAAUUUGUGUUAGAUGAAAGACCUGCAUAGUAACUCUGAACCAGAUUACGGCAUGAAGCAGCCAGCCAUAUAUCUGUAUUAGGUAACAAAUUUGAGCAGGUUCUUGUAAUCUGUUGUUAUUCAAAGAUGUCCAACAGCCAUGGAGAAAGAUAAAAUUGAAGGUGGAAACUAAAUUUAAAUAGCGACCUUUUCCUCUUGAGAAAUUUGAAUCAGAAAUAACAAGGGUUCUCGCCUUCACUGAACCACUGCAAGUCUGCAACUGUUACCCAAAUUGAGUUGGCAGCAGUAACCACGAUUCAGGCAGUUAAAUAGCAUUAAUGCGCAGGGAAGUGCUGCUUAAACUUAACGCAUAAGAUCAGUGAUAGCUGGACGAAAUAACGCAAUUAUAAAACGGGCGAAAGGAACUGUUUGUGCAUUAUAGUUUCUCUUCAUUGCUCAACAGGCACAGAAAAGAUGCUAUGAAACAAACUCAAAAAGGCCAUUAACUGAAAAAAAUAUGCAGCUGCUGCAAUUUUCCCAAUCUUCAUCAUAAUAAGGUGACUCCCAUGUCUGCACAGCAAAACAAAGGAGAUCCAAAUAUGUUCUGCAAAAAAAAGAGGAUCAAAAUUGUCAGAAAGUACAUGCUUCCAAUAAGCUUUCAGAAUAUAAUAAUUAAUUUUUAAUGCAAUAAGCUAUUUUCAGCUCUCCUGAGUGGCACAUCAACCCUUGCAAAAUGACAUUAAUUUUCAGGAACCAAAUGUUAGAGCAGCCAGAUUGAGAAAAACAAAUACAAAAAAAAAAAAUAUAAAAACAAAAAAUAGAAGAUGAACUGGUUUGUCCUUCUCAAACCUGGAAAACAGUAGGAAAGUCAGGCAAGAUAAAAUAAAGAGAACAAAGUUUCUACCCUAUCCUAGAUGUUAUGAUCAUCAUUUGAACUAACUAAAUCCAAUGAAGCAUGAGCCAACAACACAAUUAAAAACUAUUAUGACAUUGAGAUGGAGAUAAUAAACUAUAUCUAAAAUAAUAAACUAGUGUCAAAACAAUUCAUCAAAUGCAGUGGUUCGACAAAGUUGAAAAAACAAACAAGUGGUCAAACCCUGUAACUAUCAAGACACCUAAAGCACCCUGUAAUUAUCAUAGUUCAGAUUUUGUAGCUGCUCAAAUGCAACUCGGACUUCAUAAUAGAAGAUAAUAUUAAUAUACCAUUGUCAAACUCCUACGGAUAGUUUGGUAUUUGAAGCUCUACAAUACAUUCCUGAUUCAAAUAUAAGUUGUUCCUACAGAUGAGCAGGACAAUCACAUCCGCCAUUUAAGUUCCCAAAUGAAGCUCAAAUAUCCAUACUUUCCGAAAAAAGAGAUAUUCAGAAAGAAGAAAGAAAAGAGAAGAAAGAGGAUAGGAGUUUGUCGAUGAUAAUUUUAUGUCUAGCUAAUAUCCAUGCCAUCUCCAAUUUGACUGCAGAUUGGACCAACAGCAGAGAAGGAUCUCUCAAAAGGAGAGGGAUGAAAUUGCGCACUCCGUCUGCGCUUAAAAGUGCAAAUAUCAGAAGGGGAACUCUCAGCAUCAAGCUUCCUACGGGCACCUUUCACAGCCUGUUCCUCCGCCGGAGUUAGAGGGAAAACCUGCCUGCUCACUCUGCAAAGGGAGCUAUUGUUAUCAUACAGUAUUCUCUGGUUACAGUUUUUGUCACAGAUGUGAGUGAGUCCAGUUAGUCUGCAGCAAUACACGUUUCCACACACAUGUUCGUUUUCACAUUUCCAGUCGCAUUUGUGAACAGAGUGUGGCCCAUCUUGGCCUAGAAUACUUGACAGAUAAAUAACAUUUGUAGGCACCGCAACCAUAGAUUUUCCAUAUACCUCCAUUACUUCAGUCUAGCAGCAAGCUCCAAAGUCUUAAUGAAGAUUCGACACUCCUAAUGCCUUGCCCUAAUGUUCUGCAGGCCCAACACAACACAAGAAACUGUCAAUUUUGAUGGGACCGACAUGCAGCUCUAUGGACAAUGAUGAUGCAUCUGAAAGUUCUUUUUAACAUUUGUCCAUAGACUUCUAAAACAAUAAAUUAGAUAACAACAAUUCUCUUACUAUGUUUAGAAUCCGAAAAUAGUCAGAGAAUGUUCUAAAUAAAGGUCUCCCUCUAAGCAAGUACACAUAACUACUUAUAUCAUGGUAGACUUGGGAAAUUCAUUACUCGAAAGGCUUCAGUUAUGUAAAAGUCAACCUAGGGUUAAACAUGGCAAUUAUAUUCUCCCAUAUUAUUUUGAACUUUUAAUCUCAACAUAUAGUAAAUAAAGUGAGCAGAAAGCAAUAACCAGAACUAUGUUCUCCUAUGGCUAAUAAUACUGAUUCAUCUUAGAUUCAAUAAAUAAUUCAGGUCCUGCUCAUUAUUUAAUACUGGCUUCCUUAUACAUGUACAUGGAGCGAAACCUACCCACUUGGCUUCUAAACAAUCUAAAUCAAUAUCCUAAAAUUUGUAAUUUUAGCACAACACAUCAAAGAAGUACCCCCUAGCUAGCAUCAUAAAUCAUUUGCUUUCCACUCCAUUAGUAUCAUCAUGAAAUAGAAACAUAUGGGUAACAGUGUUAAUUACACCAAAUUAAACAAAUCAGCUCACUAUAUUCACAAUCUAAUAAAACAUCAAGAAAAUUCAUCCCGGAACAGGAUAAAAAUAAAAAACUAAACCCCUAGAAGCAUGAAAUGGUAAAGUAGAUUCUACCCCAUGAAUUCAAAGUCAAAUGUCUAGCAAAACCAUACAAUAUCAUUCAAAGAAAUAAUAGAAACAUACAUAAUACACAUAUAUAAUACAGAAUGAACUGAAAACUGAAAAGUACCCAAAUGGCAAAAACAGUAUUUUUCUGCAUUCAUACAUACACACAUACCCACAUAAAGAAAGAAAAAAAUCAACUUUGAAAGGGAAGGGAAAAGGCCAAGAACUCACCAAGUAACAAACAAGAAGAUUCACCUCCUUCUCUCUCUCCUACCCUUUAUCUCUCACUAGGCGUGGGUAGCUAAUGAAGCAAGAAAUGGCGAGAGGAGGGAGAGGGAGUGAGAUAUUUAUAGAAUAAAAACAAGGUGAUCCGAUUAUGGUGUAUACUGUUUAAUAGGGGAGUAGAUGUAAAUGCACGUGAAAUUAAACUGAAAUUUAG
rnacentral:lncRNA from 1 species